CUUCUAUCGUUAAUUCUCCUUAUGUUGUGGAUUUUGUGUAUGUUGUGGAUUUGAUUUGCAGAGCAUUAUUGAUUGUGAAAUAUAGUUUACAGAGUAUUAUACUAUUGUUUGUGUAUGUUGUGUUGAUGAAUUUAUUUGUUGAUAAAAUGGUUGCUGCCAGUCUGAAAUUGUUGAGUGAAACGGAGCCCGCCUCUGUACCAUCUAAUGAACAUGCUUUUACAACCGGGUGAUGAACUUGUUGCUAGUGGUGAAGCAUUUGGUUCACAUGAUGAUAUUGAUUUCAAUUUUCUUCAUAACAAAUGAGGCUUGGGUCUUAAAACUUAGUAGUUGUUUGUUUGAAACUUUAAAACUUUUUUGCUAUUUGGAUGUAAUGAACUUAUUUGUUAUUUUCCAACCAUAAAACUGGUAAUUAGCUCCCUUUCCGGUUCUUUCACAGUACCGAUUUUUAAAACCAUGCUUCCCACUCAAAGAAAUAUGACUCAAUAAGCUCCCCCUUCCACACACGGUUGGUCCUGAUCAAUUAAGGAACUAACCAUUGCAGUGUUAUCACUAGCAAUAGAAGGGGAGAUGAUUUUAUUAUUGAACUUCCCUGGCAGCCACCUUUCACCCCAUAUAUGAACUAAAUUUCCACUCCCAAUCCACCAAACAGCCCCUCUUUUAAUGCCAUGAAUUGAACUUCCACCUCAUAUAUCCCUGGUAGCCUUCUGUUUUUUAGUAAUAUAGUAUGCUAUCCUUAAUUAGGAAAGCCAGGUUCCUCUCAAUCAUCAAAUUAUUUUUUUUAAAAAAAAGUUUCAAAAUGCUAAAAUAGAAAAUUGUUUUUUUUCCUCGACUCCAGCAAAUGAACUAUUAUGGAAAGUGGGAAGUGUUUGCUAGAUAUUACACAUCUCACUUUCAAUUGACUAAUAAGAUACGAAAUUUCCAUUCUGUUUGAUCACAAAGAAAGUUCAAAGAUUUAUUUUAGGUUUCACACAAAAACUUGCAUGAUAUUGCAAUGAAAAUGAAAAAGGCAUCAGUAUGGUUCUUGGAAAGUUCAAAGAGUUACUGGUCAUACCAAAAUCAAUGUAAAAAGCAUCAAUAUGGCACUUAAAAGUUCAAAGAGUUGCUGGUCACACCCAAAGCAAGCCACCUUUAAAGGAUCCUCUUGCUUGCAUUCACCCUCUUCCUAAUUUGUCAUUCACUUUCUUGAAUUAUAUUGACAAUCCCUUCACAGUUUUCUUUCUCCUCCUUUCAGAUAUUUACAAUUGUCUGUUCAUAAAUCUUGAUGGCUCUUGUCACUAGCGAAGGAGCCUCAUCUUCUUCUUUCACCCACCAACCCAAGAAGUUUGAUGUCUUCUUGAGUUUCAGAGGUGAAGAUACCCGUCUUGGUUUUACAGGCCAUUUGUAUAAUGCUUUGUGUCAACGGGGUAUUAACACCUUUAUUGAUGAUAACCUUCAAAAAGGAGAAGAAAUUUCUGCAAGUCUUCUCAAAAUCAUUGAAAGCUCAAGGAUUUCAAUAAUUGUAUUCUCUGAAAACUAUGCAUCCUCCACAUGGUGCUUGGAUGAACUUGCUAAAAUUGUCGAGUGUAAGAAGAAUGGCCAAUUGGUGCGACCGGUUUUUUACAACGUGAAUCCAUCAGAAGUUCGCAACCAAAAAGGAAAGUUUGGAAAAACAUUAUCUAAACAUGAAAAAAAAUUAAAGGAUAACAAGAAGUUGCAAGGUUGGAGGAAAGCUUUAUAUGAAGUUGCAAAUAUAUCUGGUUGGCAUUACAAGCAUGACUGUGCUGAAUUUGAAUUUAUCCAAGAGAUUGUUGAAGCGAUCUCAAAUUUUAAAUUAAAUCAGAUGCCAUUAUUUGUUGCUCAAUACCCUAUUGGAAUAAAUUCUCGUGUAGAGGCCAUAAUAUUGCAAUUAGAAAUUGGGUCAGAUGACGUUCGUAUGUUAGGUAUGUAUGGCCUCGGUGGAGUGGGUAAAACAACCAUUGCAAAAGCUGUUUAUAACAAAAUAUUAGAUCAUUUCGAAGGAAGCAUGUUUUUGGAAAAUGUUAGAGACAAGUCAGGGACAUUUGAUGGCAUUAUCCAACUACAAGAGAUACUUCUUCAUGAGACCCUAGGGAUAAAUGGACAACUGAAGGUGUGUAGUGAAUCGAAAGGAACCACUGCGAUAGAGAACAUACUUUGCAAUAAAAGAAUUCUUCUAAUUCUUGAUGAUGUGGAUAAAUUAUACCAAAUAGAAAGAUUGAUUGGAGGAUGUGAUUGGCUUGCUUCUGGAAGUAGAAUAAUUAUAACAACAAGAAAUAAACAUUUCUUACAAACUUUAAGAAUAUGUCAUUCGACUUACGAGGUUAAGGAAUUAGAGGAUCAUGAAGCUCUUGAACUAUUUAGUAUGCAUGCCUUUCAUAAAAACAAACCCGAGGAAGAUUAUUCAAAACUUACUGAUCAGGUUAUAUGUUAUGCCAAGGGCCUUCCAUUAGCUCUAUCAAUAAUUAGUGCCAAUUUGCAUGGAAGAAGUGAAAUGGAAUGGAAAAGUGCAUUAGAUAAGUACAAAAUGAUUCCUGACAAAGAUAUUCAAAAAGUACUCCAAGUAAGUUAUCAAGGAUUGGAUGAAAUGGAGCAAGAUAUUUUUCUCGAUCUUGCAUGUUUCUUCAAGGGUCUUUACAAGGAUUAUGUUGUAGAUAUACUAAAUUCUUGCAAUCUAUACCCAGUUAUUGGUAUUAAAAAUCUUAUAGAUAAGUGUCUCAUAACUGUUGAUCAAUUUAACAAAUUAUGGAUGCAUGACUUGCUACAACAAAUGGGUAGAGAGAUUGUUCGACAGGAAUCACCACAAAUACCUGGAUUACGUAGCAGACUAUGGUGUUAUGAGGAUGCUUUUGAAGUACUAACAGAAAAUAAGGGAUCUGAUAAUAUUCGAGGCAUAAUGAUAAUCUCGCCUGAACCAACAAAGUUGCAACUAAAAGCUAACUGUUUUGAGAAGAUGGGAAAUCUCAAGUUCCUUUUGGUUAGUAAUGUUAAUACUUCUGGAGAUCUUGAAUAUCUUCCCAAUGGAUUAAGGGUGCUUGAUUGGUCUAGAUUUCCUUCAUCUUCCUUACCAUCCAAUUUUCGUCCUCACAACCUUGUUGUACUUAACAUGCCACAAAGUCCCGUUAUAUUGGACAAGAUUUUUGAGAGUAUACAAUACAAAAGCUUGACAUAUAUGAAUUUCAGUUUUUGUCAAUACAUUAGAAAAUUACCGAACUUAUUGAGUGCCACCCCAAACAUAAAGGAAUUGAAUCUUCGUGAAUGUAAAAAAUUAGUCAAGGUUCAUGAUUCUGUUGGAUGUCUUGCUAAGCUUGAAAGUUGGGACCUCGGCAAUUGCUAUAAACUUCGAAUUCUUCCAAGCUGCAUCUCAAUGAAGUCUCUUAAACUUUUAUGUCUUUAUCUGUGUGAAAGGGUUAAGAGGUUGCCUGAUUUUCCACAUGAAAUGAAAAAUUUAAAGUAUCUAAGUCUAGCACACACUUCCAUUAGAGAGCUUCCUCCAUCAUUUAGGAAUCUCACCGGGCUUGAGCGAUUAGAUUUUGGUUCCUAUUUCAAUUUGUGCCGUCUUCCAAGAAGCAUCGAUCAAUUGCAACAUCUUCGCAUACUCAAGCUUUAUGAAUAUGACCAUUUGCGACAAUAUUUAUCAAAUUAUGGUUUUCUAAGGUUGAAUUUUCUAAAAAAGUUGACUUCUUGUUUCACCCCCACAAAGAAAUGUUUAUUAUCGGGGAGAGAAGGUUUGAGCCUCGAAGAAAGCAUUGUCAAAUUCAAUAGAUUACAAUAUCUUCAGAUUAGGGAUUCCAAGUUCCUUCAGAAAAUUCCAAAGCUUCCAGAAAGUAUAAGAACAGUACGCGCAAUAAAUUGCAUUUCAUUGAGUUCAAAAUCAGUAAGAAAAUUAUUCCUUCAGUUUAGAAGAAAGUUAGAGGUUCCACAAAAUACAAAAUAUGAAGACAACAUAUUAAUGGAUUCGCAUUCACAUCACAAAUUAUCGCAUCAGAUUGAUUACUCUUCCAAGAUUGAUUACUCUUCCAGGAUUGAUUUCUCCCUCUCCCUCUUCAAGCCCUCACGCACUCUACAUGCGUUUCUGAUGGAUUAUACGAGGGAUUAUGGAGAGUCAUAUAAUAUUAUAGUAACAGGAAAGAAGAUUCCAAAGUGGUUCAACCAUCAAAGUAUUGAAAGUUCCAUAUCGUUUUGGAUUGGUACUAAAUUUCCAACAAUUGCGGUUUGUUUAGGUUUUCAUCUAGUUCCGUUGAAGGACAGUUAUGCUAAUAAUGAUAAGUACGGUUCUGUUCGUGAUGAUGUAAUCAGUUGGCAAUGUCAUGUCAACAUUUUCACCAACGGUCAUACGCAACCUUUCACGCUGCGGAGGAACUUUUACCAUAUUAAGUGUGAUCAUCUGUGGUCUUACGGUGUUUCUAAUAGCAAAUUACAGCAGUAUUUCGGAAACAUGAUGCAAGGUGAUCGGAAUCUUGUUGAGGUUUCAUGUAAAAUCUCUAGGUGGAAUAGUAUAAACGGAAAAUUCGCUCCUGUGAUUGCAAGGAUAGGGGUACAUGCAGAAUGCAUUUGUCAUCAUCCAAAUUCCAUUAUAUUCGAUGACAACUCUCAAAAUGUUGAUGACAACUCUGACUACUCUGAAAAUGAUGAUGACAGCUCUGAUGACAACUAAGACAGAGCUUGCAUCUUUACUAUCUCCUUUCUCCACUUCUUGCGGGACCAUCUUCACUGCAUUCAAGCAAUGAUGGCUGAGAUUUGAUUUUGUCAUCAAUUGCCCAUAUGACUCAAAUGGGUCUGACUUGUUUUUGGGAUUUGACUCAACUGUUGGAGUUGGGUUUGAUUUGGCUUCCUCUACAAUGGCCGAUCCGUCUGCAAACUAUGAUUCUGGCUUCAACCCAUAUCCAUAGUAGAAGAAAAUGAGAACCUCUUGAUCAAAUUUUGAGGAAACAUAGCAAGGGUAUUCAAAUAAACAUGCAACAAUGCUUCUACCAAGUGAGAAAUCUUAUGCAUGGAUUUGGUUACAGGGCAAGAUAGACUUCAGCUUAUGUCUCGACUCUCCACUGUGACAUUCUCAGUUCUUGUGAACAGACCCCCAACUGGCAUAUUCAGCAUUAUAGGGGUUUGAGUAAAGUGGAUUGUAGGAGCAACAGGAUUUCUUUUCUGGUUUCCAGGUGGGAAAGGGAAUUGAGAUUUCACACUUCUUUAUAGAUGACCAUAUAUCAUCUUCUUGUGGAGGUGUACAACUGAACUAAGCUAUCUUAGUUGUCUGCUUCUUUUCUUUGAGACUCCCAAAUUAAUAAUGAAAUGGGUUCUAUGGAAGACUAUUGGCAGUUGUUUAAGGCUAUAAGGCAAUAGAACUCAUGGUUGUUGAUGCUCUGUUAAAAACAAAUGAUUAGCUUGACAUUGCAUCCUCAAUUCAUCAACCGGCAGGAUUUUGGAAGUUAGAUGAUUCAAUCUUAAAAAUCAUUGAAAUUUCUGAUGUACAAACUCUCAAGGAAGCAAGAGACAUUAUCCCAUGCAUUUGAAGAAGGGAGCUAUAUCAGCUAUCUUAUUACAAUCGCAAGAUGGGGAAGAGUUCUGCAAUGAGUUCUCUGUCCCAAUGGACAAGAUGGAGCACUUCAAAAAGAUCACUCCCCAAGAUAUCAUUUGCUCCCAGUUCCAAAAAAGAUAAAAUGGGUGGUGUGACGCUAGAAGAAGAAGAUAUUGUUGUGAGCAAUGUUAAGAUCGAUUUGACCUGAGGAAGAAACAACCCUCUUCAAAGCAUCAAAUUCUUCAAGGAUUAUGACAGCAAUGAGAUGUUCUCAAUCCAAGAUGAUCGCAUCAGCCACUUGCUGCCUGCAUUUUACCAAGAUAUGAUAGAUAGUGAGGGUGUACUCUAAGAAGCCUGAACUGGU